UAAGGGCGCACGGUGGAUGCCUUGGCACUAGAAGCCGAUGAAGGACGUUACUAACGACGAUAUGCUUUGGGGAGCUGUAAGUAAGCUUUGAUCCAGAGAUUUCCGAAUGGGGAAACCCAGCAUGAGUUAUGUCAUGUUAUCGAUAUGUGAAUACAUAGCAUAUCAGAAGGCACACCCGGAGAACUGAAACAUCUUAGUACCCGGAGGAAGAGAAAGAAAAUUCGAUUCCCUUAGUAGCGGCGAGCGAAACGGGAAGAGCCCAAACCAACAAGCUUGCUUGUUGGGGUUGUAGGACACUCUAUACGGAGUUACAAAGGACGACAUUAGACGAAUCAUCUGGAAAGAUGAAUCAAAGAAGGUAAUAAUCCUGUAGUCGAAAAUGUUGUCUCUCUUGAGUGGAUCCUGAGUACGACGGAGCACGUGAAAUUCCGUCGGAAUCUGGGAGGACCAUCUCCUAAGGCUAAAUACUCUCUAGUGACCGAUAGUGAACCAGUACCGUGAGGGAAAGGUGAAAAGCACCCCGGGAGGGGAGUGAAAUAGAACCUGAAACCGUGUGCUUACAAGUAGUCAGAGCCCGUUAAUGG
rnacentral:rRNA from 1 species